rnacentral:rRNA from 1 species
UUUACGGAGAGUUUGAUCCUGGCUCAGGAUGAACGCUGGCGGCGUGCCUAAUACAUGCAAGUCGAGCGAACGGA